AUUGAACGCUGGCGGCAUGAUUUACACACGCAAGCCGAACGGUAACAGGCCGCAAGGUGCUGACGAGUGGCGAACGGGUGAGUAAUGCAUCGGAACGUGCCCAGUCGUGGGGGAUAACUACUCGAAAGAGUAGCUAAUACCGCAUACGAUCUAUGGAUGAAAGCGGGGGACCGUAAGGCCUCGCGCGAUUGGAGCGGCCGAUGUCAGAUUAGGUAGUUGGUGGGGUAAAGGCUCACCAAGCCAACGAUCUGUAGCUGGUCUGAGAGGACGACCAGCCACACUGGGACUGAGACACGGCCCAGACUCCUACGGGAGGCAGCAGUGGGGAAUUUUGGACAAUGGGCGCAAGCCUGAUCCAGCAAUGCCGCGUGCAGGAAGAAGGCCUUCGGGUUGUAAACUGCUUUUGUACGGAACGAAACGGCUCUGGUUAAUACCCGGGGCUAAUGACGGUACCGUAAGAAUAAGCACCGGCUAACUACGUG
rnacentral:rRNA from 1 species